rnacentral:rRNA from 1 species
AACGAACGCUGGCGGCAUGCUUUACACAUGCAAGUCGAGCGGCAGCGCGGGGGCAACCCUGGCGGCGAGCGGCGAACGGGUGAGUAAUGCAUCGGAACGUAUCCCGGAGUGGGGGAUAACCUAUCGAAAGGUGGGCUAAUACCGCAUGAGCUCUGAGGAGGAAAGCGGGGGAUCGCAAGACCUCGCGCUAUUGGAGCGGCCGAUAUCAGAUUAGCUAGUUGGUGGGGUAAAGGCCUACCAAGGCAACGAUCUGUAGUUGGUCUGAGAGGACGACCAGCCACACUGGGACUGAGACACGGCCCAGACUCCUACGGGAGGCAGCAGUGGGGAAUUUUGGACAAUGGGCGCAAGCCUGAUCCAGCAAUGCCGCGUGCAGGAAGAAGG